UAUCACCAUUUCUUGUGAGAUCUUGUUUUAUUCAUUGGAUCUCCAGUGUUUGAAUGCUGAAAAAUGCUUCCUUCCCUUUCCAGCAUAUGGAGGAAUUUCAGAGCAGAGUUGUUGUGCACAAACCUAUUUCUCCAGUGGCACAUGCUCAGAGGCAAUCAAAUCACUCUCGCCAUCGGGUUGUCCUUCCUUUACAAGCCUGAACAGAACCCAACCCAAGGACAGACGGACAGGCACAUAAACACGCUCUGAUUUUUGCGAGACAAGGUUAACUUGGACGGCUCACGUCUGAUAGAAGUUGUGAAGGAGGUCAAGAUGUUGGAAAUCAACGAUGUCAGAUCAUCUUCAGAAUCCGGUAGAGUCAGACUGACUGCAAAACGAGACCUCGCCAGUUCUCUCAGCCACCCUCCCUUUCCUCGUUUCAUUGCCAGGUAGCUCAUGGCACGGCAUGACGCUGUGUAAGCUCCAUCUGUUUGGCGCACGGCUGGUGACAAACUGCGAGAGAGGAGGCCUAGUCAGUCGCUGUGGGUUGCAUUGCGGUGGAACCAAUCGGCACCUUCCCACACGGCCCAAAGAGAAAGCCCCCCGGGAAACCCUUCAACACGCCCAGCCUACAACCCAGCACACAAUUUGUGCUCCGCCAAAUAUGGAGUCAACUUCUACCAACCCUGACUUCACCCGUGAUCAGUACAAAACAAAAAAAUGAGG